rnacentral:rRNA from 1 species
GAUGAACGCUGGCGGCGUGCUUAACACAUGCAAGUCAAGGGGGCUCAGCAAUGGGCAACCGGCGAACGGGUGCGUAACACGUGAGCAACCUACCUAGGUGUGGGGGAUAGCCGGCCCAAC